CUUCCCGGUUGGAGCUGUGCGCCUGCGCAAACCCCAGCCGCGGCCCCGCCCUUCUCGGCGCAGAGGCCGCCGCAGCUUGUCUCUUCCGCGAGGGCGUGACGACUACAACUCCCGAAGUGCUCCGCGAGGAAGGCGGCAGUAGUCCCGGCCCUAGGGAACCUCGGAGAGCUGGUCCGUGUGAUCUGUCUGCAAGGAGCGUUUUUAAUUAAGGCUGCUGGCCUUUGUCCCCUCGCGCUGAACGGCCCGAGUUGAGGCCGGUGCUGAGGGAAGAGAAAGAAGGCAGCGAGUCCCUAACCAGGCCGGCUAAUGAUGCUGCAGAGGAGGGGGCACUCGCCGCCCUGGGUGCCAGAGCUAGAAAACACCCUUUGGACUCGGUGGGUGCUUUGACACCUGACACACCGUGGGUUGGAUACUGACGUUUUUAUUAAGAAUUAUGCCAACAUUGCGUAGCGUGGAAGGAAUGUUUCUGAAACAGAGCUCUUGAGCCAGUCGUACUUCUUGGUCGAUUUUCGAUAGGAGAGCCAUUAAACCAUUUCCAUUUUUCACCCAUUUUCCACCCAUUUUCAUUUCACAGAAAUUUUCAUCUUACUCAGUGCUGAAAAGAAAGAGCGCGUGCACAAGCUGGGGAGGGGCAGAGAGAGAGAGAGACACAGAAUCCCAAGUAGGCUCCAGGCUCUGAGCUGUCAGCACAGAGUCCCGCGCGGGGCUCGAACUCACAGACCAAGAGAUCAUGACCUGAGCGGAAGUCGGUUGCUUAACCAACUGAACCAUCCAUUUCUCCCUUUAGCCUGCAUCUUGAGCUACUGGGCUACAGUGACUGUCUCCUAAAAGCCGAAGUCGAUCAGAUGCUGUGGCCGAAGCCACCUUCCCAUUCUCCCUUACCCCUAAUAGCUUACAACGCAUGACAGCUUCCUUGACUUGG